rnacentral:lncRNA from 1 species
UGGGACAUGAAAAGCAAUUUUUGGACAUUAGAAGACUUCUAAGUCUCCCAGUUUUAUGGUGAUGGUACAAUGAAAAGCAGUUUAGUUUCCAGUGGAAUCUAACAGCAGGUGCAAUGUUUUCAUACGGUAUAGAUUUAAAAAAUAAAAAAUAAUCUGAUAAUCAACACAGAUAUUAAACAAUGAAAAGCUAAUUUGAUGCUCUUCUUAGAACAUAUAUCUGGUGAGAGAAAGCCCCUCUACCCUCCCUCCUCUUACAGGAAAUCAACACUUACCAAUACGAUUUGUUUUCUUUAGCUUUUCAUCACUGCACCUAAACAAUAUUUAUAUUGCUUCUUAUUCCAUUGAGUUAAAAUAACUUCUUCUUACAAUAGGUCACUCUUUCUUACAUAGAAAGGUGUGUGCAUGGGGAUACGAUAGGAUAUCAUAACCUCAUCACCUUACAAGCAACGCUCUGUAUGAGAAAGUGUGGAUUCCCUGUAAAUACUUUUACAAGUUAGUUACGAGCAUCGUAUUUUUCUAUUUGCCUUCUUAGAGCUCUCUUGGAGACUCCUGACUCUAUUUUCCUUCUAAUCUGUAUCAAUUCUAUUUAUUUCUUUUUAUUUCUUUUUUUUAAAUGAAGCACUUAUACUCACAAUGUUUUAAAACACUAAUUCUUAUACGUUAGCCUGCCAUCCUCAUUCUACUCUGGUAUGUUUUAAACUCAGUGCUUUAUUAGGGAUCUUCAUAUACAUCUUUAUUCCAUUAUACUUAUCUAUGUCCAAAUUAAACGUAUAGUAGAGUUCUUUGUGGCUUUAGAGUGCAGAUAAACUUAAAAUAACAUCCUGAAAACAUAUAUAUAUAUAAACAAUCAUACUGCGUACAUAUAUAUGUACAUAUUCUGUGUAUUUUGUCUUCCAAUAGAGAAUAAAAUGAGUUGUGCUAUACUUAGAAACUUUAGUUUUCUUUUGAUUACUUAUUUUCACUCCAUAUCUAAUUAAUGGCUUGAUAUAUCAAAAGCUUUUAGUUAGCAAAUUGUAAUAUAUUUGUAUUAAUUCUUAAAUGGAAAUGCUUGCAAAGCACUAAUGACUCAAGUGCAUAAACUCAACCUCUGAUUAUUAAUAAAAAUCCUCUAGGUUGAUUUCCUACA